rnacentral:lncRNA from 1 species
CUCUCAGGGCAGCAGGCGGUGGCAGGGCCAAAGCCUAGGUGUGGGCACCAGGGCCCGGGGAAGUGGGGGCGAGUGGACCACAGUGACAGCCCCUGGGGACCAGGAAAGAAGAGGGCCCAGAGUGUCCAGCCCAGGUGCUGCAUCUGGAACCCCAGGGGUUCUCCUGGAAAGGACGGGCUUUGGUCUCUGGCCUGCUCUGGUGGCAGGGAGGUGGAGUGGACCAUGAGGCGUGGCCCGGACCAUGCGUGUGAGUCACCAGUGCCGCCAUGCGCAGACUCUGGGGCACAGGGAAGGGGGCUCUGGUUCUUGGUCUCUUCCCUCCAGCUUGCUUGAUACU